GAUGAACGCUAGCUCCAGGCUUAACACAUGCAAGUCGAGGGGAAACGCCAUCGCAAGCUUGCUUUUGAUGGGCGUCGACCGGCGCACGGGUGAGUAAAGCGUAUCCAACCUGCCCAUCACUUGGGAAUAACCUUGCGAAAGUAAGACUAAUACCCAAUGACAUCCCACGAAGACAUCUGAAUGGGAUUAAAGAUUUAUCGGUGAUGGAUGGGGAUGCGUCUGAUUAGCUUGUUGGCGGGGUAACGGCCCACCAAGGCAACGAUCAGUAGGGGUUCUGAGAGGCGGGUCCCCCACAUUGGAGAUAAGACCCAGACCAAUAUCGUACGGGGGGGAGCGGUGUGUAAUGUAAGUCAAGGGGGGAUGACGUGAAACAGCCGCGUAGGGUGCAGGGGUACUGUGCUAUGAGUGAUAUACUGCUGUUAGAGAAGAAUAAAGUGAGUCUCUAGGGACGUUUUGAAGGUACCUUAUGAAUAAGGACCGGCUAAUUCCGUG
rnacentral:rRNA from 1 species